rnacentral:tRNA from 1 species
ACUUAUAUAGUAUAAUCAUUACAUUUGAUCUCCAAUCAAAAAAUCUUAUAAAAGUAUAAGUA